GCGCAGAAAAUAACAACAAACAGGAGAACAUGUGCUUUACAGGACUUGCGACAUAUGGAUCGCUGCAUGCGCCGUCCCGGUAUGACAAUGAAUGUCGAACCAUUUGCAAGGUUCUGGCAAACACUGGUAUACCAACAGUCACAAUUUUCACGCGAAAUCCAGCUGUUAAAAAAGUUUUUUCCGCCGUACUGAUUGUUGCAUGGGGGCACUUUGCUGGGACAUGGACAUGACAGGCGGAAUACAAUGUGGUGUCAACUAAUACAUUGACUUUAGCAGUAAUGAGGACUGCAUGAUGAAAAUUAGAGAAAAAAAUGAGUUCGACAAGAUAUCUUGGAUAUAUAAGACCCUGCUGGACCAGGUUGUUAUCCUAGAAGAUGACCAAAAGUACUCAUAUUUUACUAGAAGCUAGCACUUCGAUCAUCUCAGAGAUGUGGUAUGGAAUUUGUUUGCCAAUUGCCAAAGUUAUUACCAUAAGUUAACAAAGAUGCAAAGCUUAUAUAGAGAAGUGAAAAGGGAAUGCAUGUAAAUUUCAAGAACAUUUCCCCACUCUACAUUCAUUAUCAGAUGACCCAGUUUCCCCUGGGUUACCCAAGACAUAUUGGCAAGAAACAGAAAUUCUUUUUUUAAAUUUAAAAAAGCAGGAAUUUAUCCAAAUUAAGAGUAAGAUGGCUCUCAUGGAUGCCUAUGAUAAAUAACAGCUGUUUUUAAAUUUAUUGAAAAAAUUGUAAAUACAUUUGUAAUUUGUACUUAGAUAAUACAGAUGACUGUACAUUGAUAUGAUAAGGUUGAUUCUUUAAAAAAAUACUGUACAUUGUACAUCUGUUGUAAAUUUUAAAAAGGAAUUACAUGUAACAAUUAUAAAAGAAUUUUUAAGCAGAUAGAUGGUAAAUACUUCAGAUUUUCAGUUACUUCUUUCAUUAUUCAAAAAAAUAUUUUUGUAGAGAAUAGCAGAAUGUUGUAAGUGUUGAAAGUGAAUUCGUAAAUAUUUGAAUUGUAAUUUAUAUUUUUUCCAUGUAUUUGUCAAUUGAGUAGAUUUAUGUUGCCAUUUGCAAAUUACCUGUGUGCAAGUUUUAUUUUUUUUUUUCAAAGUUAAACUGUUAUGGUCAAUAUCAAAUUUGGUUGGACAUUUUUGUAACUUCCAAUUGGAAAAGUAUUUUCAUUUGGAAUGUAGGUAAACUUGUUUAUAUAUAUUUGCCAUGAUAGAUGUUGGCAAUUUAAAGCAAUAUGAGCUGCAAUUUUCAUGUUGAAAAUUUUUUUCAAGAAAAUGUUAUUUUGAACUAAAAUGACAAAAAAUAUCAUGGUCUUAAAAUUUCUGUUAGCUCUGUUUUUGUGGGAAAAGCCAUUAAGAAGCCUUAAUUGGAGCAAAAUUAAAUUAUUGUCAUCCUGUACAAAAAAUUGAUCUGCUAUAUAUAUGUUCCUUAUUAGGGAAAUCUUUCUCCUGACAAAAAUUAAUGUUUUUUUUCAAUUUUAUCAUAAAAGUUUAAGUUACAGGCAGACUUAUCAUACUAGCAGGUUUUUGCAGCAAAAUAAAUUUCUAAAAAAUACAGCCCAUAUUGCUUUAAAUGCAAGUGUAUGAUUUUGGAAAUUUUAUAAAUCUUAUAUGUUUGUUUUCUUUCAAUUAAAAGUCCUAUAGCUUACACAA
rnacentral:sRNA from 1 species